GAUAUAACAGAGUACUGGAGCUGAGCCAGAACUAUUACUGGCCAUGUGUACUCUCUCCUCGUCAAUCACACACUACGUCCUAUUUCAGUCUCCAGCAGGGCUGAAUUGUUCCUACAUUUUGCUAAUUUUCCCUAAAUAUACAGAACAGUAUGUGCUUCCCCAGCAUAGGAGGGGAGAAUGGCCAAGAGUUGAACCUCAAGCCAAGCUAAUAUUGCCUGCAUUUGGAAAUAAAACAUAUCAAGAAUAAAAAGAAGCAAUGCAAGAAAGAUUUCUCAUAUUAAAUCUGGUGAAUGCAUACUUCAUCAUGGCUCAACAUCCAGCUAAAAGGCUUUUCACCACCAUGAAGUAACCUGAUACUUGUGUAUGCACUAAAUUGGAGAAGGAAGGUCUCUUUCCACACAUUUCCUGAAGCAGGUAAAUAUGCAUGCUUUAAGACCUGGGUCCUCACUCCUCAGUUCCAUCACUACAUUAAGACGUCAGAGGCCAUUGAGUCUAUCCUUUCAUUUUGCAAUGAGUUAGGUGAGAUCCAGGCAAUCCAGACAGUAAGUGACAGAGCCAGGACUCUUUAUUUUUCCACAUUGCUUUUGUAUCAAAGCAUCAUAUGUCUGGAGUUGGAGGGUGCUUCAGAGGCUAUCUAGUUGAAUUUCCUUGUUUUAAAGAUUAGAAAAUGUAGGAUGAAGAAGAUACAGUGUGAACCUUAAAAAUUCUCAGACCCUACUUCAUAAGGUUAGGAUUGUAAACCUUAAAAAAUUUCCCAGACCCUACUUCAUAAGGAGACCAUUCCCCAUUUGGGACCAUUCUCCACUUGGGCAGUG
rnacentral:lncRNA from 1 species